UGGGGGAUAUUGCACAAUGGGCGAAAGCCUGAUGCAGCGACGCCGCGCGGGGGAUGAAGGCCUUCGGGUUGUAAACUUCUUAUGCUCUGAACAAGGCGCACCAUGGGGUGUGUUGAGUGUAGGGGUUGAUUAGCGCCGGCUAACUACGUGCCAGCAGCCGCGGUAAUACGUAGGGCGCGCGCGUUGUCCGGAAUUAUUGGGCGUAAAGGGCUUGUAGGUGGCUGGUUGCGUCUGUCGUGAAAGCUCAUGGCUUAACUGUGGGUUUGCGGUGGGUACGGGCUGGCUUGAGUGCAGUAGGGGAGGCUGGAAUUCCUGGUGUAGCGGUGGAAUGCGCAGAUAUCAGGAGGAAUACCGGUGGCGAAGGCGGGUCUCUGGGCUGUUACUGACACUGAGGAGCGAAAGCAUGGGGAGCGAACAGG
rnacentral:rRNA from 1 species